GACGAACGCUGGCGGCGUGCCUAAUACAUGCAAGUCGAGCGGACUGAUUAAGAGCUUGCUCUUAUGACGUUAGCGGCGGACGGGUGAGUAACACGUGGGCAACCUGCCCUGUAGAUCGGGAUAACACCGAGAAAUCGGUGCUAAUACCGGGUAAUAUCUGAGAUCACAUGAUCUUAGGCUAAAAGAUGGCUCCGGCUAUCACUACAGGAUGGGCCCGCGGCGCAUUAGCUAGUUGGUAAGGUAAUGGCUUACCAAGGCGACGAUGCGUAGCCGACCUGAGAGGGUGAUCGGCCACACUGGGACUGAGACACGGCCCAGACUCCUACGGGAGGCAGCAGUAGGGAAUCUUCCGCAAUGGACGAAAGUCUGACGGAGCAACGCCGCGUGAGUGAUGAAGGGUUUCGGCUCGUAAAGCUCUGUUGUUAGGGAAGAAACAGUACCGAACGAACUAGGUCGGUACCUUGACGGUACCUAACCAGAAAGCCACGGCUAACUACGUG
rnacentral:rRNA from 1 species